rnacentral:rRNA from 1 species
UACGGGGGGGGCAAGCGUUGUUCGGAAUUACUGGGCGUAAAGGGCUCGUAGGCGGCCAACUAAGUCGGACGUGAAAUCCCUCAGCUUAACUGGGGAACUGCGUCCGAUACUGGAUGGCUUGGAUUUGGGAGAGGGAUGCGGAAUUCCAGGUGUAGCGGUGAAAUGCGUAGAUAUCGUAAGGAAGACCAGUGGCGAAGGCGGGUCUCUGGACAGUUCCUGACGCUGAGGCACGAAGGCCAGGGGAGCAAACGGG